UUCAUUAGCUGGCGGACCAGCCAUGUUGAACCUUGUUUAAUUGUUGUUUUCGAGUGGAAUAGUUUUCCACGUGGGUUUCAUUUGUUAAGUCAGGUAUUUUGACUGCUACGUUGUAGCGGAAAUUCCAAGUUCCUAAACAAUGUUAUCACCCGUUAGCUGUAAAGGUACUCUGGAAGAAAUCUAUGAUAUUAGUAGAAUAAUUUUAUGGAUUAAAGAAUUGGAUGUAAAAAAAAUUGCUUUACAAUUCCCCGAUGAACUGCUAAAUGAUGCUCCCGAUGUCGCACUUAAAAUAGAAUUGUCCUCCAACAUUGAAGUUCAUAUUCUAGGUGAUACUACAUAUGGAAGUUGUUGUGCUGAUGUUCAUGCUGCUACAUAUAUUGGUGCAGAGGCUUUGGUACAUUUUGGCCCAGCUUGUUUAACUCAGCAUGAAAAAUUUCCUGUGCUUUAUAUAUUUGAAAAAAUCAGUGUUGAAUCAAAACCAUUUUUAGAUGAGUUGACUGCAACUCUUUCAGAACAGGAUAAUUUAAUAAUAGCUUCUGAUCUGAGAUAUUAUCAUUCUGCAGAAACAAUAGUGGCUGAACUGCAGGCACUAAAGCGAACUGUGUUGUAUCUUGAACCCAAUCUGUUUUCAUUGCAUCAACCAUCACCAGAUCAUUUAACAGUGUCAGGGCGUACUUGCCAAAAGCUGUUGCCACACGACACUCCGAUCGAGAAUUUCAUCGUGAUAUACAUUGGCGAAGAGGGAUUAACAUUGACUAAUCUAAUGUUCACCCUAAACCAAUGUACUUUUUACACCUAUAACCCGAACGGAUGCUCCUUGAAAAAAGAAUGUGUUAAUGUCAAUCAGCAACUGCGGAGACGUUACUUCUUAACAGAGAAAGCUAAAGACGCUCAAUUAGUUGGUAUUCUUGUAGCUACAUUGGGUGUCGCUGAUCAUCUGAAAAUAAUUGAACACAUCAAAUUUCUCGCCAAAAACUCUGGCAAAAAGUGUUAUACUUUUGUUGUAGGAAAGCUGAAUCCAAAUAAGCUGGCCAACUUUCCAGAAAUCGAUGUUUUUGUAGCAGUUGCGUGUCCAGAGAAUUCAUUGCUAAACAACGAAGAAUUCUAUCGACCAGUUAUUACACCGUAUGAGUUUGAGAUUGCCGUGAACAGUUCGCGCCCUUGGACAGGCGAUUACAUAACUGAUUUUAGGCAAAUUCUGCCAGACGCGGCUGGGUACGUCCCGCUCACAGCUUUAAGCCAAGAACAAGAGGCAGAUGUUUCCCUUGUUUCAGGACAAAUGCGCCACGUAGCGUUGGAAGGCCUUGAUGACGAUUCCAGUGCAAGCUUUGAUCAGAUUUCACAUAGAAAUCCGAAUUCAAGCCUACUUCCUGUGGGUAGUGACUUUCUUAAGCGACGCGGUUGGAGUGGGCUUGAACCUCACGUUGGUGAAACCCCUGUCAGGACUGCGCAUUCAGGAAGAAGAGGAUUGGCAGCUGGUUACAGUGGGGAAGGCGAAAACGAAACCAAAUAAGAAAAUGUGUCUGAAAAACUCGGUGAACCAUAAUUCAAAUCCUUCGAUCAGAUUUCAGGAUUGUACAAACUUACCUGAUUGGAUUUUUCAGACUUGGCUCAUAUUCUUGUUGCUAAAUUGGAGCAAUGGAUUUUGUAGGGAAUUAUCAUGCCAUUCCGUGUCGUCAUAAUAGAGUAAUGAAGACAAUUGAAUAUAUAUCGUUGAGGCACUAUGAGAAAUGUCCAGAAAAAGAUCGCGCGGGAUAGCGUAGCCUGCAUUGUGUCAUAGAGAAGCCUGCCAAGCUCAGUGCCUGGAGAAAAACUUCGGACUUUUUCCAACUAUUCCUCUGAAAGUGGUAGAAACCCUCUAGCCUCUACCCUAGAAGAUAUGUUUUCGUCAGAUGGCAGCAGGCUAUAAAGCAGACAACAUUAAUUUUUUUUCCACAACAACAAGCUAACGCCAAGCCCAUGCUCCCAAACAAGUGUAUUUAAUACAUUCCCAUUCUACUUUUG